CAUGAAGCUGGAAUCGCUAGUAAUCGCAGAUCAGAAUGCUGCGGUGAAUACGUUCCCGGGUCUUGUACACACCGCCCGUCACACCAUGGGGGCCGGGAAUGCCCGAAGUCGGUGACCCAACCGUAAGGAGGGAGCCGCCGAAGGCAGGCCUGGUAACUGGGGUGAAGUCGUAACAAGGUAUC
rnacentral:rRNA from 1 species